rnacentral:rRNA from 1 species
ACACGUAAGGGGCAAGCGUUGUUCGGAUUUAUUGGGCGUAAAGGGCGCGUAGGCGGCAGCACAAGUCUGGUGUGAAAUACUCCGGCUCAACCGGAGGCACGCGCUGGAAACUGUGUUGCUAGAGUUUAGGAGGGGGAGCUGGAAUUCCUGGUGUAGGGGUGAAAUCUGUAGAGAUCAGGAAGAACACCGGAGGCGAAGGCGAGCUCCUGGCCAUAGACUGACGCUGAGGCGCGAAAGCGUGGGGAGCGAACAGGAUUAGAUACCCAAGUAGUCC